CCCCUCUCAGGGUCGUACAAGGAGAGUUUCCAGUACUCUACUGGUCUCGGCUAUAGGACGGAGAGUCAAGCAGAAGCCUACCCAUUCCAUUCCUAGUUUGGCCAGUGGCUAGUGAGUGGAAGGCAAUCUGCUACAAGU